GAUGAACGCUAGCGGCAGGCCUAACACAUGCAAGUCGAGGGGUAGCAGGAUUAAGCUUGCUUAAUUGCUGACGACCGGCGCACGGGUGCGUAACGCGUAUGCAACCUACCUUAUACUGGGGUAUAGCCCGGAGAAAUUCGGAUUAAUCCCCCAUAGUACUAAUGAAUCGCAUGGUUUAUUAGUUAAAGCAUUGCGGUAUAAGAUGGGCAUGCGUCCUAUUAGCUAGUUGGUGAGGUAACGGCUCACCAUGGCUACGAUAGGUAGGGGGCCUGAGAGGGUGGUACCCCACACUGGUACGGAGACACGGACCAGACUCCUACGGGAGGCAGCAGUGAGGAAUAUUGGUCAAUGGGCGCAAGCCUGAACCAGCCAUGCCGCGUGCAGGAAGAAUGCCCUAUGGGUUGUAAACUGCUUUUAUUUGGGAAUAAACCUCUUUACGUGUAGAGAGCUGAAGGUACCAAAUGAAUAAGCACCGGCUAGCUCCGUGCCAGCCGCCGCGGUAA
rnacentral:rRNA from 1 species